UUAACUUGUGAACAUGUUUUAAUCACAGGUAUUUUAAGUCACCUGUUGUCCAGACCUUGUCAGCUGAAUAGCCUGUCGUGCUAAAGGUUCACCACAGAGAAGGCAGUGCUUAACGCUGAGGUAAAAAGAUGUUGUCUAGUAGAGUUAUGCAAGUUUACUAGCUCGUGUGCCUAAACAUCUGAUCCAUAAAUGAGGUGGAGUCAGAGCUGGGUUGACUACUUACUGCAUUGUGAGGUGGAUGGGCCUCUGUGAAUGUGGCUGCCAAGGUCUGCUAAGGGUAUGGCGGUUGUCCGUGGUUUUUUUUUUUUUUGGCUGUACGAUUUUCCUCAGCUUGUUGGCCCUUUUUUAUUUUUUUCCCUUUUCAGUGUUCUGCUAGACCGACAAGGUGGUGGAUUGUGGGAACCCCUUUCCCCUUCAAUGCAUGUGGUGGUGGGUAUGACAGCUGUGUGCAUGCUUUACUUAGUUUUAUUGUGUGAUGUUUGUGUGUCUAGGUGGCUGCGCACCAGUGUGAGUGGUGUCAAGGCACCUGGGUGGCAGGUCUGGCCCUUGUACAUGCAGAGGUGUUUAACGUGUCCUUUUAUCCCUUGGCGUCUACAUCUUAUCCUGUUUUUAUUGUUGUGCUUGUGCAGUGAAUAAAAUUGCCCAAAGCCUGAUUUAUUUUUUUAAAUAAAUCUUCCUUCCGGUUGAAA